AUACGUAGGGGGCGAGCGUUGUCCGGAUUUACUGGGCGUAAAGGGUGAGUAGGCGGUUAUAUGUGUCAGAUGUAAAAGGCUAUGGCUUAACCCUAGUUAGCAUUUGAAACUGUAUGACUUGAGGGCAGGAGAGGGAAGUGGAAUUUCUAGUGUAGCGGUGAAAUGCGUAGAUAUUAGGAUGAACACCAGUGGGGAAGGCGACUUACUGGACUGUAACUGACGCUGAGUCACGAAAGCGUGGGUAGCAAACAGGAUUAGAUACCCUGGUAGUCCACGCUGUAAACGAUGAGUGCUAGGUGUUGGCCAGCGAUGGUCAGUGCCGCAGUAAACACAUUAAGCACUCCGCCUGGGGAGUACGGUCGCAAGACUGAAACUCAAAUGAAUUGACGGGG
rnacentral:rRNA from 1 species